UUAGAUUGGUUGCAAUAAUGAUUAUUGGUAGAGGUGAAUAUCUUGUCCUUGUCCUGUAGCGUUUAACAUUUGGUUGCAUUCAUCAGAAGUUCUGCAACUGGUUCUAAGGUUUUUGAAGUUACAGAUCUUGAUAAAGCUGCCGAGAUGACUAUUUUUGGUUGCUUUUGGACAAAUGGCCAAAUCUAUAGUGCAACACCUCCCCUUCUACUGCAUUGGUGUACUAAGAUUCGUCAUGGAAAGUGGUAACAAGGGUUGUUAGGUUCUCUUGAUAUCCUGAUUACUUUGGAGCUUACACCUUAGUGAGAGG